rnacentral:misc_RNA from 1 species
AAGACUAUAGACCUGCGGAGUACCUGCGGAAGGAUCAUUACAGAGUUGCGAGACUCCCAAACCAUCGCGAACCUUACCGUACCCGACUGUUGCUUCGGCGGGCAGGCGCCCCAGCGCGCCCCCCGGGCCACGCCCCCACGCGGGGCGUGGCCUGCCCGCCGGAGGGACGACCACAAACUCUUUGUAUCAGGUGGCCUCUCUGAGUCGUUCUGUACUGAAUGAAGUCAAAACUUUUAACAA